UGGGGAAUUUUGGACGAAUUGGGCGAAAGCCUGAAUCCAGCAAUGCCGCGUGUGUGAAGAAGGCCUUCGGGUUGUAAAGCACUUUUGUCCGGAAAGAAAUCCUUGGCUCUAAUACAGUCGGGGGAUGACGGUACCGGAAGAAUAAGCACCGGCUAACUACGUGCCAGCAGCCGCGGUAAUACGUAGGGUGCAAGCGUUAAUCGGAAUUACUGGGCGUAAAGCGUGCGCAGGCGGUUUGCUAAGACCGAUGUGAAAUCCCCGGGCUCAACCUGGGAACUGCAUUGGUGACUGGCAGGCUAGAGUAUGGCAGAGGGGGGUAGAAUUCCACGUGUAGCAGUGAAAUGCGUAGAGAUGUGGAGGAAUACCGAUGGCGAAGGCAGCCCCCUGGCAAGUCACUGACGCUCUGCACGAAAGCGU
rnacentral:rRNA from 1 species